rnacentral:rRNA from 1 species
UAAACAUUGAUAGUUCAUUACACACACUAUUCGCCAGGGUACUACGAGCAUCAUCUUAAAACCCAAAGGACUUGGCGGUGCUUAAGAUCCACCUAGAGGAGCCUGUUCUAGAACCGAUAACCCCCGUUCAACCUCACCCUCUCUUGCUUUCCCCGCCUAUAUACCGCCGUCGUCAGCUUACCCUGUGAAGGAUGAACAGUAAGCAAAAAUGGCAAAGCCCAAAACGUCAGGUCGAGGUGUAGCGUAUGAGAGGGGAAGAAAUGGGCUACAUUCUCUAGAUUAGAGAAUACGGAUAGUACCCUGAAAUGUGUAUUUAAAGGAGGAUUUAGCAGUAAGCAGAAAAUAGAGAGUUCAGCUGAAACCGGCCCUAAAGCGCGCACACACCGCCCGUCACUCUCCCCAAGCUAUUAAUUACAAAAUACUUAAAACAUGACAACUGCAAAGGGGAGGCAAGUCGUAACAUGGUAAGUGUACCGGAAGGUGUACUUGGAAAAAU